rnacentral:rRNA from 1 species
AGCGGGAAAAGCUCAAAUUUAAAAUCUGGCGGUCUUUGGCCGUCCGAGUUGUAGUCUGGAGAAGUGCUUUCCGCGCUGGACCGUGUAUAAGUCUCUUGGAACAGAGCGUCAUAGAGGGUGAGAAUCCCGUCUUUGACACGGACUACCAGUGCUUUGUGAUGCGCUCUCAAAGAGUCGAGUUGUUUGGGAAUGCAGCUCAAAAUGGGUGGUGAAUUCCAUCUAAAGCUAAAUAUUGGCGAGAGACCGAUAGCGAACAAGUACCGUGAGGGAAAGAUGAAAAGCACUUUGGAAAGAGAGUUAAACAGUACGUGAAAUUGCUGAAAGGGAAACGCUUGAAGUCAGUCGCGUUGUCCGGAACUCAGCCUUGCUUUUGCUUGGUGCACUUUCCGGAUGACGGGUCAGCAUCGAUUUUGACCGUCGGAAAAGGGCUGGAGUAAUGUGGCACCUCCGGGUGUGUUAUAGACUCCGGUCGCAUACGGCGGUUGGGAUCGAGGAACGCAGCGCGCCGCAAGGCAGGGGUUCGCCCACUUUCGCGCUUAGGAUGCUGGCAUAAUGGCUUUAAACGACCCGUCUUGAAACACGGACCAAGGAGUCUAACAUACCUGCGAGUGUUUGGGUGGUAAACCCGAGCGCGUAAUGAAAGUGAAAGUUGAGAUCCCUGUCGUGGGGAGCAUCGACGCCCGGACCUGACGUUCUCUGACGGAUCCGCGGUAGAGCAUGUAUGUUGGGACCCGAAAGAUGGUGAACUAUGCCUGAAUAGGGUGAAGCCAGAGGAAACUCUGGUGGAGCUCGUAGCGAUUCUGACGUGCAAAUCGAUCGUCAAAUUUGGGUAUAGGGGCGAA